UUUUUUUUUUUUUUGUCUUUUUAUGGCUGCACCAGGACAUAUGAAAGUUCCCAGGCUAGAGGUCAAAUCAGAGCUUCAGCUGCCAGCCUACACCAUAGCCACAGCAACCAGAUCUGAGCUGCAUCUGUGACCCACCCCACAGCGCAUGGCAAUGCCGAAUCCUUAACCCACUGAGCAAGGCUAGGGAUUGAAUAUGUGUCAUCAUGGAUACUAGUCAGAUUCAUUGCUGCUAAGCUACCACGGGAACUCCUACUCUUCCAUUUCUAUAUACUAACAAUGAAAGAUUGAAAAAAGAAAUUAAGGGGACCUCUCAUUUGCCAUCACAUCAAAAAGAAUGAAAUACCCAAGUUCCUACUGUGGUGCAACAGGAUCUGUGACAUCUCAGCAGUGCCAGGAUAUAGGUUCAAUCCCUCGGCACAGCUGGUAAAGGAUCUGGCAUUGCUGCAGCUGUGGUGUAGGUCACAACUGCAGCUCAGAUCUGAUCCCUGGCCCAGGAACUCCAUAUGCUAUAAGAUGGGCAAAAAGAACAAAAAAAAUUAAAAAAAAAAAGAAUAAAAUACCUAGGAAUAAACCUACCUAAGAAGGCAAAAGACCUAUACUCUUAAAACUAUAAGAAACUGAUAAAAGAAAUCAAAGAUAACACAAACAGAUGGAAAGAUAUACCAUGUUUUUGGAUUGGCACAAUCAAUGUUGUCUAAAUGGCUAGGUCGAGAGUCCAACUGCUGUCACUGCAGUCUCUUCAUUGCUGUGAGUUUGAUCCCCAGCCCAGUGCAGUGGGUUAGAGGAUUGGGUGUUGGUACAGCUGCAGCUUGGAUUCAGUCCCUGGCUCAGGAACUUCCAUGUGCCAUGGGUGCAACAAUGAAAUUUUUAUAUUUUUUAAAAUAAAAAAAGGCUAACUACCCAGGCAAUCUAAAGACUUGAUGUAAUCCCUACAAAAUUACCAAUGACAUUUUUUCACAGAAAUAGAACAUCUAACAAUUUUUAUGGAAACACAAAGGAAUCCAAUAAGCCAAAGCAAAUCUGAGAAGAAGAAGAGAGCUGGAGGAGUCAUGAUCCCUGACUUCAAACACUACUACAAAGCUAUCCAUUAAAAUAAUAUGAUGUAGACACAAAAUAAAGAUCAACAAAAUAGAAUUUAAAAGCCAGAAAUAUAAAAUAAAAAUAAAAGCCAGAAAUAAACCCAAACACCUAUGAUCAAUUAAUCUACACCAGAAAAGUCAAGAAUAAACAAUGGAAAAAAGACAGUCUCUUCAAUAAAUGGUGCUGGGAAAACUGGACUGUUACAUGAAAAAGAAAAUAUUAGAAUACUAUACAUAAACCAAAACAAACAAACAAAAAACCCAGGAAUGGAUUAAAGACCUAAAUUUAAGCCUGGAUUCUAUGAAACUCCUGGAGGAAAAUAUAGACAGAACAUUUGUUGACAAAGAUUGUGGCAAUACUUUUCAGAUCUACCUCCUAUAGUAAUAAAAAAAAAAAAAACACGAAUGGGACCUAAUUAAACUUAAAAGGUUUAAAUAAGCCAUAAACGAAAGGAAAAGACAAUACAAAGAAUGGGAGAAAAUAUUUGCAAACAAAUACAAAUUCCAAAAAACAAGGGAUUUAUCUCCAAAAUAUACGUUAUAUGACAAUAUCAAAAGAACAAAACAAAAAAUGGGCAUAAGACUUAAUUAUACAUGUCUCCAAAGAAGACAUAUAGACAGCCAAAAGGCACAUUGAAAAGAUGCUCUAUAUUGAUAAUUAGAGAAAUACAAAUUAAAACCACAGUGAGGUAUCAUAUCAUACCACUCAUAAUUGCCAUCAUCAAAAAGUCAACAAGUAAUAAAUGCUGGGAAGAUGUGGAGAAAAUGAAAUCCUCCUCCAUGGUUGGUUGGAAUAUAAGUUAGUCCAGUUCCUAUGGAGAACAGUAGAGAAGUUCCUUAAAAAACUAAAAAAGAUCUAAUAUAUGAUUCAGAAAUUCCACUGUUGAGCAUUUAUCUGGGAAAGACAAAAAGUAAGUGGAAAAGAUACAUGCACCCCAAUGUUCACAGCAGCAAUAUUAUUACCCAAGAAAUAAAAACAACAUAAAAGUCCAUCAACGGAGGAAUGGAUAAAAAAGAUGUGGUAGAUACACAAAUGGAACAUUACACAAAUGGAACAUUACUCACCAAAAAAGAAUGAACAAUGCAAUUUGCCAAAACACAGAUGGAUGUACAAAUUAACAUACAAUGUUAAUACAAGUCAGACAGAUAUAUACAAAUAUUGUAUGAUAUCACCUACAUGUAAAAUAAAAAAAAAUUGAACUAGGGAAAGGAUUUAUAAAACAAAAACAAACUUUUAGUUACUAAAAGGGAAAACAGGAAAGGAUAAAAUGAAAUUUGGGAUUAGAGAUAUAGAAAACUAUGUAUAAUAUAGUUUAAACUCUUAUGUUUAGCACAGGGAACUAUGUUCAAUAUCUUUUGAUGAACUAUCAUGGAGAAGAAUCUGAAAAUGAAUACACAUAUGUAUGUCUAAGUGCAUCACAUUUCUGUGAAACAGAAAUUAACACAUCAUUAUAAAUCAACUAUAUUGCAAUAACAAAAUUUUGGAAAGACCAUUCUUAUUUUUUAAAAAAGAAAUAUAAGUUGAACACAGAUGAAAAUAUAUUCCAUGUUCUUAUAAAGGAAUAAAAAAUAUUGUUAAAAUGUCAAUACUCCACAAGGCAAUCGUCUGAUUCAAUGUAGUCUCUAUCAAGUUACCUAUGGCAUUUUUCACAGAAAUUAAAAAUGUUUAAAUGUCUAUGGAAACAUAGCCAAAACAAUCUUGAGAAGAAAGGAGCUAGAGAAAUCAGGCUCCCUGACUUUAGACUAUACUACAAAGUUACAGUAAUCA
rnacentral:lncRNA from 1 species